rnacentral:misc_RNA from 1 species
UCCAAACCUCCUCGGUCCAGCAGCAGCAGUAGUCGAGGGCGCCGCUGCUGGGAGCUUGCGCUUGUGCCCCGCCGCUGCGUAGCACCGCCGCCGCCUGAACGCCGCCGCACCAGCACGGAGCUCGCCGUCAGCAAGUGGUGGUGAGCAGCAGUGUGACGUUCGCCAGUGUGGUGUGGCUCCGUUGUGCGCGGACAUUAUAGGACCUCGCUGUGGAUGUCCGCGCGCCUCAAGUAGGACGCCCGCCGAGGCCGUAGCAGCCGCAGCAGCCGUAGCCGCAGCCGCAGCAGCGUCCUCGUUGCGGCCGACCGAGCAGCCCUGGGCCCCGUGGCACCGCCAGCCGCCGUCGUGGCGACGCCGCCCAGUCCGCCGAGCCCGACGGCCGCCGCGGCCGCCGUCGUGCAGCCGCAGGCCUCGUCGCUCGUGCUGGCCACCCCGUCCAGCCUGGUGGCGGCCAAGGACUCGCGGUGGCUCCAGCUCGAGGUGUGCCGCGAGUACCAGCGGAACAAGUGCUCGCGCCAAGAUGCCGAGUGCAAGUUCGCCCACCCUCCGCCCAACGUGGAGGUGCAGAACGGACGCGUGAUCGCCUGCUACGACUCCAUCAAGGGCCGCUGUAAUCGAGAGAAGCCCCCUUGCAAGUAUUUCCACCCACCACAGCAUCUGAAAGACCAGCUGCUGAUCAAUGGUCGCAACCACCUGGCAUUGAAGAACGCACUGCUCCAACAGAUGCCACUGCAGGCCAUGCUUCCAGGACAGCUUCCGACGGCGGCCGUGGUAAGUCCCUACUGGUACCUGGGACACAUGCAGAGGCAGCAGCAACUGCAGCAGCAACAACAGCAGCAACAGCAGCAACAGCAGCAAAGCUACGCGCUCUUCAACGGCUCCCUUGCUUCAGCCAAGGCUACCAGCCCAUAUAUGCCUGCACUGACAACGAUGGCAACAGCAUCUUCAUUUGGACAUUACUUGACGCCUAGUCCUGUUUUGCCUGGCAUGAUGACUGCAGACGCUGUGACGGCCCCACUAAGCGUUGUGCCAGCUUCACUAGUGUCCCCACAAAAAGUGGCGCGCACUGAUAGACUUGAGGUGUGCCGGGAGUUCCAGCGUGGCACGUGCAAGCGGCCCGAGACGGAGUGCCGCUUUGGGCACCCGCCCGAACACGUGGCGGUGGACAGCGGGGACGGGGCAGUCACCGUGUGCAUGGACUUCGUCAAGGGCCGCUGCUCUCGGGACCAGUGCCGCUACUUCCACCCUCCCCCGCACCUGCAGGCGCAGCUCAAGGCCACGCAGAGCCGGGCUGGCGCUGCCGCCGCUGCUGCUGCCGCUGCUAUGCCGGGCCUGGGAGAUCCUUCCGCGAGCAAGAAGCGUCCCCGAGAGUCUGCAGAUGAAGUUGUCCUGGCAUUGCCCGGUCUUGUACCUUACACAAAACGCCCUGCCCUCGAUAAGAGCGGUGUGCCUGUGUACCAGCCCAGCGCCACAGCGUACCAGCAGGCCCUGGCUUUACAGAUGCAACAGCCCUUCGUGCCUGUUUCGUUUACUGGACACCCUGCCGGUGUGCCGAGAUUUUAAGUCAGGGCAGUGCAAGAGGCCCCAGUGUCGAUAUGUACACCUUGUUGAAGAGUUUGUCGAGGUGGUGGAAGGGAAGGUGACAGUGUGCCGCGACGCUGCCAAGGGUCGCUGUGCACGACCUCUGUGCAAGUACUACCAUGUGCCGGCGCUGUCCCUGAGCCCGCUCUGACAGCGCCCCCCUAGUCAGGCUUGGGGGCCCCCCUGGUUGCUCGAGGCGCUGUGUUGACAAGACUACUCUUAAAACCCAGGGGAAGAAAGUGGCACACAUGCCAGUCUGCAAAGUAUUUGUUCUGUCAAGUUUUUUUUUUCUUUGUUUGUUUGUUGUUUUCCAGAUUUUUGACAUACAUACACACACACACCACCACCACCACCACCACCACCACCACCAUGAACAUACACAUUUAUAAAUAUAUAUAUAUAUAUAUAUUAUAUAUCUAUAUUUUUUGUAAUAUCUGUAAAGUGUUUAUGUAGUGUUUUGUUUUGAGACAAACUUUUAAGGAAGGGCCGUUUUCAAUCGCGCUUUUAAAGUGUCCUAUGAAUUGACAAAUUUUUUAAUGAAUUGUUAUAGCACUUAUUUGAACCCUUAGUGCAGACAAUUUAUGAGACAUUUUAACAUUGUAUUUUUCAUUGUGGGUGAAUAUCUGAUUAUAUAGGCCACUACAAGAUCAUGCGCUUAACAAAUCUUGUUGUGUAAAUACAAGUAAUUAAUAAGCAGGUUGCUUUUUUAAUUGUCGUUUUAGUGAUCAUGGCUGAGCAGGCUACUGCUGUGUAUAGCCAAAAAUUUUUACCGCUGGUUCAGUAAUAACGAGGAUGAACAGUGCUGUCGUUAUUGUGAAGUUUUGUUGUUUGUGACUGACAUGCCAAGACCAAAGUCUUUACAAACUUGAAACAAGGAAGGGGUGGACAAACCCACACCUAUGCAAACAUUACAUCUCUGAAGCGCACUGUCUCUGCAGUAGCAAGGAACGGGAAACUUCCUGGAGUAAAAUUUAUGUGCGCUGCUUUCCUUGUUAGACUUGGUUGUUGUCUGUUCAGACUACCUUCUGGCAGAGCUUGUGCAUUUUGUUCACCGUUUUCUUUCAUCGGUAGCAUGGAGAACACUGUUUCCAUAGGGGGAAAAAGGUCUUUCUGAAUGCAGCUGUGGCCUUUAACCACUUUGCAAAGAACUUGAGACUACAAUGUGCAAGAGAGACACAAUGUUGAAUUAAAACAUCUUUUUGCACCCAUAGUAGGCCUCAGGAACAUGAAUGGGUGCAUUUAUUUCAUCUCUGAUCAAACACACUCCGUUUUGAACAAAUAUUCUUUUUUGUCUAGACAUGCGGCCACAAGGCUUGCUUCUCUGAGCAGGCCUUGGUUGUGACUUAAAUGCCAUUACUUAGACAGAGGCCUCCGGCCUUUUUGCCCACGGGGAUGGUGCUAAUCUAAGGACAGUGCUACUGGGCAUGGUCCGAGACCAUGCUAAGCAACAGGCCUAGCCAUUGCCCACAAGGUCACACAAGCAGUAACACCAGAAAAGCUGUGCUAUACUAUAGACAGGGUGGGAGCGGUCCUUAUUAUGUGGGGGUCUUCUCAUCACACUGCUUGUGUACAUAGGCGUAUCCCAUUCACUGUUCAUUUUCGUCUUGGUAGCAUGGAAACUUCAUUGUCCUUGAUAUAUAGCAUAUGCAUGCGAGCAAAAGAGAUAUUGUACACCUAUAUUUUUAUGCAAACACACACACACUUUACUGUUCUGUGCCAUAUUGUUUUCUUUUGUAACAGGUUUAUAUGAUUGCAAGUGUACUCUUUAUCAUAUCAUUGUUUUCAGUUUAUGUAUGUGCUUUUCUUUAAUUUUAGAGUUGUUUUAGAUGCUCUUGUGAAAUCUGUGAGGUUGUUGCUGUCACAGGGAAGGGAGGUUUGUUGCGUUAUACAUUUCAAUGUCCCGCAUGAGUGCACUUAUUUUUCUGGGCGCCCAAAGAGCAGCAGCACACCUAAUGACAGGAUUCCAUCCUUUAUUCAGUCCAGCUGUCCACGGCUGCAUUUUGCCUGGCGUGAAAGGGAAGCUCGAAAUGGGACCAAGUUUUGUCCUAGCCUGAUGCAACCUGAUUUGGCCGAGGAAAAGGGUCGUCCCAGUGUGGCACCUAUUCAGGGGAAAAGCAGUCGUCCAUUCUUCCUGGGAAUCAAAACGUCCAAAUCAAAAGCCUCACUACCAGUGCGUACUACGUGGCACCGUCUGAUCCGCUUUUGCCCCCUCGCAUCCACAGGAUUUGAGGCUACUUGGGCCUCGUGCCAGUCAAAGUAGUCUCGAAAAUGUCAGCGGACGAGUCCAGAUCAAGUAUAAGAAAUGGAAAACCAAGCAACAUCAGAGAAACAGUGCCUUUUUUUGUAAUAUGCAGGAGUCUUUGUCAUCGCUACGCCUGGCUAACCCCCAUUGUUGCAGAUUUCCUUCACUACACAGUAGCAGGCUUUAUUGAGUUCUCCUCCUUUGGGUAUAUGUGUGUGCACGUCUGGCUUGCAAGUUUUGUCUCAGAGCCUGUUCAAAGAAGUGAGCAGGCAGUGGUUUGGCUGUUGGGCUCAUAGGCCAGUGGGGAAAACUCGUCAUACACCUGUACAGCCCCCAACUCUUUGCUAUAAUGUGGUUGUCGGUGCUGUUUUGCUGGGUCAGAGGACUUCCUCGUAGCAUCCUCGGGCCGUUGUUGUACUACUUUUGUGGAGUGGUGUUCAAGGGGCCGCACUUUGGAUGGAGGGUGCCACACAUUAGGCGAGUGCCCUGCCAUCGUGUGUUCAGGCUUCAUCACCUGGAAGGGCUGUCUAGUCGGGGCACGGGCUGCACUUCCCUUCUUCACGAUGCCCCUUGUCAGAGGCACACAACUUUCCUCUAACUUUAUUAGUUGAGUGUAAAAAAAAGAAUGUGAUAUCUUUUUAUAUAUAUAUAUUAUAUAUAUAUAUUAUAUAUAUAUUAUAUCGACAUAUAUGAGAGAGAAAAGAAGAUACAGUUAUGGCAUAGCAAUUUGUCGUCUACAAAUUCAACAUGCCGCCGCCGCAGCCUCAGCAGCAGCAGCAGCAGCCUCAGCAGCAGCCUUUGGAAAUAUUUCCUUGGUGCUUUGCCUUGGCAGGCCAUCUAGGAAGCGCUUGCGCCCCAUGCACUUUUUUGCUUGAUGAGUGAAUGUGUCCUCUGAUGCUGAUGAAUGUCCACUUUGUUGCAAGAGCAAGCUGGAAUGAGCCAGCAGCCAGACGCUUGCCUCUCUGCUUUGGGCAGCCACAACGAAGUUGGCCGAGGGCGUGCCGUCCUCCUUUUUUCCACUCCCUUGUGCUUCAGUGUAGUUUGCUGUUUUUCUCAUAGACAAAUAAAGUUGCCUUUGUAAUUGA